rnacentral:rRNA from 1 species
GAUGAACGCUGGCGGCGUGCUUAACACAUGCAAGUCGAACGGAAAGGCUCCUGCUUGCAGGGGUACUCGAGUGGCGAACGGGUGAGUAACACGUGGGUGAUCUGCCCUGCACUUCGGGAUAAGCCUGGGAAACUGGGUCUAAUACCGGAUAGGACCACCUUCUGGAUGGUGUGGUGGAAAGUUUUUCGGUGUGGGAUGAGCUCGCGGCCUAUCAGCUUGUUGGUGGGGUAAUGGCCUACCAAGGCGUCGACGGGUAGCCGGCCUGAGAGGGUGUACGGCCACAUUGGGACUGAGAUACGGCCCAGACUCCUACGGGAGGCAGCAGUGGGGAAUAUUGCACAAUGGGCGGAAGCCUGAUGCAGCGACGCCGCGUGGGGGAUGACGGCCUUCGGGUUGUAAACUCCUUUCGCUAGGGACGAAGCGCAAGUGACGGUACCUGGAGAAGAAGCACCGGCUAACUACGUG